CUCAGCCUCGGCCUCUCAAAGUGCUGGGAUUACAGGUGUGAGCCACCACGCCUGGCCAGCGGAGUCAGGAUUUGAAUCCCUGGAUCCGAUAUCAGCAGGAUUUCCGUGUCUUACCUGUCAGCGCCAACAUCCCUCUGACCGCCCCGACCCUCCAUCAUUCCCAGCCAUCCCCAUGAGGCUGGAACCUGAGCAGGAUAAAAACGAUCUGGAGACUUCUAGUGUAGCCUUCCAGUGGAGCAAUGAGCUUGAACACGGGCGGCAGCACAAAGUUGACCCCAGCGAUGAAGAUGGACGGAAGGUUCCAGGACCCCCGGCUUCCUCUUCCAAGACCCUCCGCACCUGCAGCGCCACGGUGUUCUCUGUAGCCCAGUAGAUGCCAUAGAAGGCUCCCCCAAGGAGUGCGAUCACCAGCAGGUUGAGCAGCACCCGCACCAACCAAACCCUGGCUUCCUGGCCCAGAGUCCGCACAGCAGCCUGGCGCCGCACCACUGUCUCCUCCAGCUCCACCUGAAGGCACGAGAGAUGCCCGCUUGGACUCCAUUUCCCAAGGCGCUGGCCUCUGGGUUCCCCAGGCUCUCCAGAGAUCCUCCUCAACGUGAACUGAUGCAGCCUUCUCCCCACCAGCUAACAACCUCUGCAGUCCCGGUUCCACCCGCUCCGGGGCGCUCUAAGAAACCAGUGGCCCUUUACAGCCCUGCCCCUCCGCGGCCGGAUCCAGCAACCCAAGCCCCCAUCCCUGCGCGACCAAUCUCAGCACCCCGGGCCCCGCCCCCGAAGCUCCGCCCAACACCCCCAAGACCCGCCCCUGGUCAGCCCCGCCCAUCAGAGGCUCCGCCCCCAGGCGGCCCUGCGCUUUAUGCCUGGCCUGAAGUUCCAGUUCAUCUAUAUCAAGACGCCCCGCUGGCCGCUCCCAUCACUUAACUUUGAACCAAAUUGCCUUAAAGCCCCGCCCGCUUCUUGUGCUUACUUUUUUUGGUAGAGAGGGAGCCUCCCUAUGUUGCCCAGGCUGGUGUCGAACUCCUAGACUCAAGCGAUCCACCUGCCUCGGUCUCCCAAAGUGCUGGGGUUACAAGCAUGAGCCACCGAUCCCAGCCUUGGUGCAUCUUUUUCCUACACCCUUGGAUCUCGGGCAGCCUUAUCGCGGCCUCCUCUCAACCCUCUCAUUCCCCAGGACCUGCCUUUCUUGGAGAAGGAGCUGCCUAGCGUCUCUCCGGAGGCCCCAUCACCGGGUUAGGCCCUGUG